rnacentral:tRNA from 3 species
GCCCGGGUGGUGAAAUUGGUAGACACAACGGACUUAAAAUCCGUCGCAACCGUAAAAAGUGCGUACCGGUUCGAUUCCGGUUCCGGGCACCA